GUCGAACGCUGGCGGCAUGCUUUACACAUGCAAGUCGAACGGCAACGCCCUGCCUUUGUGGGGUGCUCGAGUGGCGAACGGGUGAGUAAUACGUCAGUACCCUGCCCUUGACGUGGGGAUACCUUCAGGAAGCUGGGGCUAAUCCCGGUACGGAGCACCGGCUGAAUGGUGGGGGUUGGAAAGCUCCGGCGGUUGGGGUUGGAGUCGCGGCUUAUCAGCUUGUUGGGGGGGAAGUGGCUUCCAAGGCACUGACGGGUAGUCGUCCUGGGAGGGUGACCGGCCACAUUGGGACUGAGGUACGGCCCAGACUCCUACGGGAGGCAGCAGUGGGGAAUAUUGCACAAUGGGCGGAAGCCUGAUGCAGCAGCGCCGCGUGCGGGAUGACGGCCUUCGGGUUGUAAACCGCUUGCGCCUGUGACGAAGCGUGAGUGACGGUAAUGGGUAAAGAAGCACCGGCUAACUACGUG
rnacentral:rRNA from 1 species